AUUGAACGCUGGCGGCAGGCCUAACACAUGCAAGUCGCACGAGUGGCGGACGGGUGAGUAAUGUCUGGGAAACUGCCUGAUGGAGGGGGAUCACUACUGGAAACGGUAGCUAAUACCGCAUACCAUCGGAUGUGCCCAGAUGGGAUUAGCUAGUAGGUUGGGUAAAGGCUCACCUAGGCGACGAUCCCUAGCUGGUCUGAGAUGCUGACCAGGCACACUGGAACUGAGAAACGGUCCAGACUCAUACGGGAGGCAGCAGUGGGGAAUAUUGCACAAUGGACGCAAGCCUGAUGAAGCAAUGCCGCGUGUAUGAAGAAGGCCUUCGGGUUGUAAAGUGCUUUCAGAGGGGAGGCGGUACCCACAGAAGAAGCACCGGCUAACUCCGUGCCAGCAGACGCGGUAAUAC
rnacentral:rRNA from 1 species